rnacentral:tRNA from 1 species
GCUUUCAUAGUGUAAUGGUUAGCACACUCGGCGCGUAUUCGAGAGAUCCGAGGUUCGAGUCCCGACGAGAGCC